AGCAAUAUUUGUAAGAAAACCAUGUGAGGGUUGAUCAGUUUGUGGGUAUCUGUGUAAUGAUCAUGGAGUUGUGCAUCACACUAAUAACCAUGGUACUUUUGCUGAUAAUCAUUCAAGAGAUGAUGGCAUUUCUCACAGUGGUGUAGAUGGUGGAGUACUGCAAGAAUUCAGGUAGAUCGAUGGGUCCUGCAUUGAUGAAACUGAACAAAGUUAGUUGCAUGGUCCUAAUAGGGUAAGUGUGCCCAUAAUCACCUUUGUCAUAAUCUGAUUUUCAGGUUCCUAUCAAGAAAUCAUGAUAAACCUCAUAAUGACCAUUAACAGAACUAUUCUUGCAUCCAGGUUCAUGUAAGACGUCAUGGGGAGCAUAUCAGUCACGGCAAAUGAGGCACAUAGCAGGUAUUGAGGUAAGUGAUGAUACGAGUCUGAACCACAGCACAGACCAUCUGAUCUUACAUGUAGGUAAGUGAUUGUGUCCCUAAUACUUCUUGUUACUAUGAUUUUGUUGCAGGUAUUCAGGUAAGAAAUGAUAGUCCUUACCAAAUCUAGUGAUCAUGCCUUUACACGUUUUACAUUUUAUUUUUUUUAAUUUAUUUAUUUGAGAGAGAGAUCGAGAACACGUGAGCACAUCGGUGAGAGGAGCAGAGGAAGAGUCUCAAGCAGGGGCUUGAUCCCACGGUCCUGAGAUCCUGCGAUCACGACUCUAGCUGAAACCAAGAGUUGGACGCUUAACCAACUGUACCACCCAGGUGCCCCUACACUUUUUACGUUUUAGAGAUAACACGUUUAACCCUGUUGAGUGUUGAUUGUAUCUGUAAUUGUCAAGUUCCCACCCCAGUUGUAACCACAGUAUUUUUGCAGGAGUCCAGUUCAGACACCGUGGCUUUCUUCCAACAAAGGUGUUCACCUGAAUUAAUGCAAGUAUCAGGAUAGAGUUGAUGUGUUCCAUAAUAACAGAAGUAAAAAGGUGUUCUGGUGGAGUAAGUCAUGUCCUUCAACAUACUUAUCCUAUGUAUUUCUUCAGUUUCCUGUCAAGAAAACACGGUCAACCUACUAGUGCUUGUCAAUGGGAACUUGCUCUUAACCAGGCGCAUGACAUCUUGUCACAUUGUAAACCGUCUAAUCUUCAAUAUGAAGGUAUCCCUUCAGGAGAAGUCGAUGUGUCUUCCCAGGGUUUGACCUUGGAGUCCUGCAAUUAA
rnacentral:lncRNA from 1 species